GUUAUCCUUAGUAAAGGUAGUUAGAAGUAUCUAAUUAGCAUUGUCUUAGAAGACUUGAUAACUCAAGAAUUAAUUGAUUUAAACAGCAACUUAUAUCUGCAGGCCGCCCGUUAUCUCAGGCCUGUUUAUUUUUCCGUUUUCUUUCCCAUUUUGGGAUUUCGCCUACUUUUGAUUUGGAAUCGUAUAUAAAGGAGUUCGUCCGAAAAUUAGACGUACCCUAUCACCGUUUCUACUUGAAGAUAAUUGCCCAGGAAAUGCCGCACGCCAAGAAGA